GUGCUUGCUUCAGCAGCGCAUAUACUAAAAUUGGAAUGAUACAGAGAAGAUUAGCAAGGCCCCUGCACGAGGAUGACACGCAAAUUCGUGAAGUGUUCCA
rnacentral:snRNA from 1 species